UGGACUUUGUAAAUCUGCAGUCUCAGAUCAACACAAUCCUGCCCUUCAGCACUAUCAGCAGCAGGAGCAGCAGCAACCUCUGAAAAGCAGCAUUGUACCCCAUCAGAUGUCGUGAGGUGCCAUGACGAGAAGGAGUGACUGAGGGGAUCAUCCAGAAGAUGGAAGCUGAGGCCAGGAGAGAGGCUUCAGGAGGAUCGGAGAUCGCCUUCAGUACAGAGAGCUGUGCUACUGAGCUUCCAGGAGAUCGUCA